rnacentral:rRNA from 1 species
GAUGAACGCUGACAGAAUGCUUAACACAUGCAAGUCUUGGCGAAGCUGUGCUUGCACAGCCUAGCCAAGGCGGACGGGUGAGUAACGCGUAAGGGACUUGCCCUGCAGUCAGGGAUAACAGAUGGAAACGACUGAUAAGACCUGGUAAAGUCAGGCGGACUCAUGUCCAGCCUGAUGAAAAGGAAUGCUGCAGGAGAGCCUUGCGUCCUAUUAGCUUGUUGGUGGGGUAACGGCCCACCAAGGCGAUGAUAGGUAGCCGGCCUGAGAGGGUGGACGGCCACAAGGGGACUGAGAUACGGCCCUUACUCCUACGGGAGGCAGCAGUGGGGAAUAUUGGACAAUGGGGGCAACCCUGAUCCAGCAAUUCUGUGUGCACGAAGACGGUUUUCGGAUUGUAAAGUGCUUCCAGCAGGGAAGAAGGAAGUGACGGUACCUGCAGAAGAAGCGACGGCUAAAUACGUGCCAGCAGCCGCGGUAAUACGUAUGUCGCGAGCGUUAUCCGGAAUUAUUGGGCAUAAAGGGCAUCUAGGCGGCCUUUCAAGUCAGGGGUGAAAACCUGCGGCUCAACCGCAGGCCUGCCUUUGAAACUGAUAGGCUGGAGUACCGGAGAGGUGGACGGAACUGCACGAGUAGAGGUGAAAUUCGUAGGUAUGUGCAGGAAUGCCGAUGAUGAAGAUAGUUCACUGGACGGUAACUGACGCUGAAGUGCGAAAGCCGGGGGAGCAAACAGG